rnacentral:tRNA from 1 species
UAUACCUUAAUAUAAGAUGUAUAUUAAUUUUUGAUAUUGAGAGUAAUAGGUUGAGUCUAUUAGGUAUAU